rnacentral:rRNA from 1 species
UACGGAGGGUGCGAGCGUUGCUCGGAAUCAUUGGGCGUAAAGCGUACGCAGGCGGCCGUUCAAGUCGGGUGUGAAAGCCCAGGGCUCAACCCUGGAAGUGCACUCGAUACUGCUUGGCUAGAGUGUCGGAGAGGUUGGUGGAAUUCUCGGUGUAGAGGUGAAAUUCGUUGAUAUCGAGAGGAACAUCGGUGGCGAAGGCGGCCAACUGGACGAACACUGACGCUGAGACACGAAAGCGUGGGGAGCAAACAGG